GAUGAACGCUAGCGGGAGGCCUAACACAUGCAAGCCGAGCGGUAUUGUUUCUUCGGAAAUGAGAGAGCGGCGUACGGGUGCGUAACACGUGUGCAACCUGCCUUUAUCUGGGGGAUAGCCUUUCGAAAGGAAGAUUAAUACUCCAUAAUAUAUUGAACGGCAUCGUUUAAUAUUGAAAGCUCCGGCGGAUAGAGAUGGGCACGCGCAAGAUUAGCUAGUUGGUGAGGUAACGGCUCACCAAGGCGAUGAUCUUUAGGGGGCCUGAGAGGGUGAUCCCCCACACUGGUACUGAGAAACGGACCAGACUCCUACGGGAGGCAGCAGUGAGGAAUAUUGGUCAAUGGGUGCAAGCCUGAACCAGCCAUCCCGCGUGAAGGACGACUGCCCUAUGGGUUGUAAACUUCUUGUGUAUAGGGAUAAACCUACCCUCGUGAGGGUAGCUGAAGGUACUAUACGAAUAAGCACCGGCUAACUCCGUG
rnacentral:rRNA from 1 species